rnacentral:rRNA from 1 species
UACGGAGGAUGCAAGCGUUAUCCGGAAUGAUUGGGCGUAAAGCGUCCGCAGGUGGCAAUGUAAGUCUGCUGUUAAAGAGUCUAGCUCAACUAGAUAAAAGCAGUGGAAACUACAUAGCUAGAGUACGUUCGGGGCAGAGGGAAUUCCUGGUGUAGCGGUGAAAUGCGUAGAGAUCAGGAAGAACACUGGUGGCGAAGGCGCUCUGCUAGGCCGUAACUGACACUGAGGGACGAAAGCUAGGGGAGCGAAUGGG